UACGAAGGGUGCAAGCGUUGUUCGGAUUUAUUGGGCGUAAAGCGCGCGCAGGCGGAUUGGUAAGUCAGAUGUGAAAUCCCGGGGCUCAACCUCGGAACUGCGUCUGAAACUAUCAAUCUAGAGUCUCGGAGAGGAAAGUGGAAUUUCGCAUGUAGGGGUAAAAUCCGUAGAGAUGCGAAGGAACACCAGUGGCGAAGGCGACUUUCUGGACGAGUACUGACGCUGAGGCGCGAAAGCGUGGGGAGCAAACAGG
rnacentral:rRNA from 1 species